GCUUCACCGCCACCGAGGAACUCUGGGAAUUGUUGUUCACGUGGGACAGAAAUCCAAACAGUUCCUGCCGAAGCGAACUACAACUCCCAAGCCGCAAAGAGAAGUUGGACAGAAAAAACGUAAGAUGACGCUUUUAAGCACACGCCGUUGUUUUUUCAGGUUAACUUUAUUUAUUUAACUUUGUUUUUUUUCUUUCUUUUUAUUUUUGCUAUGCUAGUCGUCUAACUUGCAGUAGCGUGUUAGCUAAAGCGGAUAAGCUGCAGAGUCCUCAGCUCUGGAAAAAAAAAACAAAGAGCUCCAACUCCCCCAUCCAGCUCGUCUUGGCCCUGGUCUCUCUUCCAGGUCGUCUGCUGCACGGAUCUCAAUCCUUCCAUUUUUUUGAACAAAACGGUGAUGAAGCAUCUGGAUCUCAGAGAUGAUGACAUAGGCAAUGAAUGUGCAUCGCACUAUUCAUCUUGUACAUUAAUUACAUAUUUAAUGUAAUUAAAUUAUUAUAACUUUUUAUUUUUUUUUGCAGAUCACACGAAUCUUUUCUGUCAUUAUGACUAUUAUUAUAAUCUUAUUGAGAUUAUAAAUCAAAAACAAAAUAUUGUUUAAAAAUGGCUGGAUUGCAGCAAAUUAUUAUUAAAAAAAAGACUAAAACUGUGAUAUUUGGUAACCAGAGAAUGUUGACCAACAAAUAAAUACAAAAUUGAACAAAUAGCAACAACAAAUAUUAAUAGAAACUGUACAAGAGAGCAAGUUUUUAGGAUUAAUAAUUGACAGAAAACACAUUAGACACAAAAAAACAAAAAUCUCCAAAAACCUUUAAAUAAUAAACAAAGUUUCAAUUACAGGGUUAUGCAAAUGCAGUCUAAAUAAAACCUAUUCAGUGUGGGUUUGGCAGGAGCAGAGACAAUUUUGUAUCUUGUAGAGCACAACAAAAGCCGUUUCCUGAUCAAAUGUAUUUCACUUUUAUUAAUAUACAUAUACAUAUAUACCAAUCAAAUACAUUGAUAACAACAUAAGUUAUGAAGUUCAAAAACACACUUGAAUACUUUUCCUCAGCCUUUUUGUCACUCGUCUCCUAGAACCUCCAGUUUCUGUUCAGGAAACAGAAGAGUGGGGCACCAAUAUGAUAUCUCAUGUUAUGUUAUUGUUGUUGGGUUCAGCUGUGACAUUCACUUUUGAAACCCAACUGCAACCCUCCACUAAGCCACACUUCCAUCUCCACAAUCCACUGCCUGAGUAAGUUUAAAAUGGAGCAGCACUGUGUCUGAAAGAUAUAACUACUGAAACUAAUAAAACUUUAAAUAAAAGUUUGAUAAAUAAUUAAAACAUCAACGUGAUCAAUGGCUGGAAGGAGCUGAACUGAUUUUUAUGUCUUGGACUAAUCAUAAGUUACAUGUUUGAGCAGUUAAAAGAUUAAAUUCUCAUUAAACAAGGUGGGCACUAUUCUUUUAUAGCUUUAGCUUACCAUAAAAUAUCAACCACUUGCUCAAAAUGUGGAAACCGAUGCUGCUGUGGACUGGUAUUGUGGAGGAGCCAAAGUGCAGGAGAACCAGAGGCAGAAACUUGGAAGAAUUUAUUAAAAACAUUAAAACAUCCGACUAAAAAAGAAAAAAAA